GUAAUUGUAGUUUAGCCAAAACAUUAGAUUGUGAUUCUAAAGAUGGGGGUUAAAACCCCUCUAUUUACC
rnacentral:tRNA from 1 species